rnacentral:rRNA from 1 species
GUUACAAAGGGGAUGAGCCCAAAGCAAUGGUUAAAGUUGAAGAGAAUUACAGUUUUGCUCUUUGGUUCUAAUUAACGUAGCUGCCCAAAAGUUGGAUUAAUAGUAUCCAUCUCUUAACAAGUGUGUAGUAUCUUAUGGGCUAAAUUCUCUUGCUAUCUUUUUAACAAAGGUUUAAUUACUGAAACUCUGGGAGUCUGCAGAUAGAAUAGUGGCCAAG